rnacentral:rRNA from 1 species
GAGUUUGAUCCUGGCUCAGAACGAACGCUGGCGGCAUGCCUAACACAUGCAAGUCGAACGAGACCUUCGGGUCUAGUGGCGCACGGGCUGCGUAACGCGUGGGAAUCUACCCUUGGGUUCGGAAUAACAGCGAGAAAUUGCUGCUAAUACCGGAUGAUGGCUUCGGCCCAAAGAUUUAUCGCCCAAGGAUGAGCCCGCGUAGGAUUAGCUUGUUGGUGAGGUAC